GCCCAGGUGGCGGAAUUGGUAGACGCGCUGGACUUAAAAUCCAGUGGCCAUUUACGGCCGUACCGGUUCGAUCCCGGUCCCGGGCA
rnacentral:tRNA from 1 species